GGCUUAUAUAAUUACGUAUGCACGCUUUGCGCUUUGACCCCUUUUCUACGGAAUUGCGCGUGUCUUUGUCUCGUUUAGCUCAUACAAUUAAGCCCUGAAAGCAACGAACGUGACCGCAACCUCUUGUUGCUCUCAAUUUUGACUUCGUUUUACCAGACAGUCAUGCUUAUUAUUUGUGUUCACACUCGUGUGCUUCACAUUUUUUAAGUCAAGAGAGUUUCUAAACUAGAGGGACCGCUGUUACUUUCUUAAACCAGAGGAAGGUUGCGGCAAUAACAGGUCUGUGAUGCCCUUAGAUGUUCCGGGCUGCACACGUGCUACAAUGAUUAUUGCAGUGAGCAUCUCAUUUUUUACAUACAUCGCAUGCGCGAGUCCAUUUAUUCAUCACUUCGGUGUUGCUUUAAAUGUGCACCUCUGCGCGCGAUAAAGCCUACUUCGAAAGUAAGCGGGUAAUCAAUUAGAAGUAAUGAUUUCCUUUUUUUUCUGCACGCAUAUAUAUGGCACUUAUACCCGGGUAGCCUUGUUGCUACUUCUGUGCGUAUCAGUGAUAUUUUGUGUUUUACACACAUUAUAUAUUACCAUAUGUGCAAUUGUCAAUUCAUGGUGGGGACAGACCAUUGUUAAUUGUUGGUCUCGGUCUUAACUAGGAAUGCCUUGUACGGAUCUUUGGUUCAACAAACCAUCCGGAAUACGUCCCUGCCCUUUGUACACMCCGCCCGUCGCUCUUACCGAUGGACUUCUCUGUGAGUUUGAGGGACUGGUAUAUGACUGCGAGCUUGCUCCAAUCGACACUAUAGAAACUUAAACGAACAGUGGGGUCUAAAGGAAAGAGAAGUCGAACAAGGCAUCCGUAGGUGAACCU
rnacentral:rRNA from 1 species